rnacentral:misc_RNA from 1 species
UGAAUUCCUUGAAUGUGGAUUGCACAUUUGAUUAUCAAACUUUGCUAAUGGGUUUGGAAUUGAACUGGAGAAACUGAUAUUGUCCAAUGUCCUUAGUUGAUUCAGCAAAUCAACAUUACGGCAAUUACAACCGUGUGAAGCAAGUAUUGCCGCCAUUCAAGCGAAGAGACACCUCUAGGUUUGCAAUUUAGAUAAGAAUUAGAUUAAUGACAGGCCAAAUUUUGAACCUUGGUCAAGAAAAUAAAAAUUAAAUCUUUCUUUUUCCUCAACUUUCUUUCAAACCGAACAGAAGACAGAUGGGAAACAGAAUAAAUAAACAGAACAAUACACACCAG